rnacentral:rRNA from 1 species
UACGAAGGGGGCUAGCGUUGCUCGGAAUCACUGGGCGUAAAGCGCACGUAGGCGGAUUGUUAAGUCAGGGGUGAAAUCCCGCGGCUCAACCGUGGAAGUGCCUUUGAUACUGGGGACCUCGAGGGAGGUAGGGGCGUGCGGAACUUCCGGUGGAGCGGUGAAAUGCGUAGAUAUCGGAAGGAACACCGGUGGCGAAAGCGGCGCGCUGGACCGUCUUCUGACGCUGAGGCGCGAAAGCCAGGGGAGCAAACGGG